GUGUGUGUGUGUGUGUUGGGACCUAAUCUAGCAUUUAGGUCGAGGCUCAGACAGAUGAAUCAUGCAGAUAAGCCAAAGACAGAAACUGGAGUUAGAGUUCGACCAUAAACAUUGACUCGGUCUCAGGGAAAUGAGGAGAUCCCGAGAUUAGCGGGAGUUGAGUGAGUAAAUCGAGGAGGGAAAUAGGACGAAAUAACAAGAAAGAGUAUAAAAGGGGGACGAAGACGAGAGAAAGAUAAUAUUCGGAAACCAUCACACACACUCGACAUCUCUCUCUCAAACUUUUAAACUUUGUUCUUUCUUUUGUAGUUUUUUUAUCUUGUUUCCUUUCUUAAAACUUGUAGUUCGAUAUUCAUAAAUAUAAUCUACUACGUGAUAA
rnacentral:lncRNA from 1 species